UUAAUUUCAUUGUACGAGGUGCAAUGACAAUAAAGUAAACUAAACUACACUAAACUAAACCAGAUACCUUUUUUUCCAAUUGUCCUGCAGCUGCGGUUGACCCUGGUUGCUCAGCCAGAAUUCUUAAAUCCUGUACCCAUUUGUCACCAGAAAUCCAGGAAUUCCAAUUCCUCCUCUGGUCCUUGUUUACCAGGGUGACAGUGGAUCUGGCUAGACUUUCUGCUGGACUUUCCCAAAUUGAAAAAGAAUCAACUUUGGAUACCUGAGAGGUACUUCUACACCAACGGCUGCUAUUAUAUCACAUUUUGCUUGAAUAAGUUAUAGCAGAAAGGAUGCAGAAGAGAAUAUAGAGUCACAGCUUGCAGGUCUUACACCAUGAAUUCUAUGGACUAGGGGAAAAAAAACCCUGCUCUGACAGGAUUUCAUGUAAAACCAACACACAUUUCAAGACCCUUC